rnacentral:rRNA from 1 species
AUUGAACGCUGGCGGCAUGCCUUACACAUGCAAGUCGAACGGCAGCAUGGAGAGCUUGCUCUCUGAUGGCGAGUGGCGAACGGGUGAGUAAAGCAUCGGAACGUACCGUGUAGUGGGGGAUAACGUAGCGAAAGUUACGCUAAUACCGCAUACGCACUGAGGUGGAAAGCAGGGGAUCGCAGGACCUUGCGCUAUACGAGCGGCCGAUGUCAGAUUAGCUAGUUGGUAGGGUAAAGGCCUACCAAGGCGACGAACUGUAGCGGGUCUGAGAGGAUGAUCCGCCAACCUGGGACUGAGACACGGCCCAGACUCCUACGGGAGGCAGCAGUGGGGAAUUUUGGACAAUGGGGGAAACCCUGAUCCGGCCAUGCCGCGUGAGUGAAGAAGGCCUUCGGGUUGUAAAGCUCUUUCGGCUGGGAAGAAAUCGCACAGGCUAAUACUCUGUGUGGAUGACGGUACCGGCAUAAGAAGCACCGGCUAACUACGUGCCAGCAGCCGCCGCAGUAA